AUUGAACGCUGGCGGCAGGCCUAACACAUGUAAGUCGAACGAGUGGCGGACGGGUGAGUAAUGUCUGGGAAACUGCCUGAUGGAGGGGGAUAACUACUGGAAAGGGUAGCUAAUACCGCAUACCAUCAGAUGUGCCCAUAUGGGAUUAGCUAGUUGGUGGGGUAACGGCUCACCAAGGCGACGAUCCCUAGCUGGUCUGAGAGGAUGACCAGCCACACUGGAACUGAGACACGGCCCAGACUCCUACGGGAGGCAGCAGUGGGGAAUAUUGGACAAUGGGCGCAAGCCUGAUGCAGCCAUGCCGCGUGUAUGAAGAAGGCCUUCGGGUUGUAAAGUACUUUUGGCGGGGAGGCGGUACCUGCAGAAGAAGCACCGGCUAACUCCGUGCCAGCAGCCGCGGUAAUUC
rnacentral:rRNA from 1 species